UACGUAGGGGCCUAGCGUUGUCCGGAUUUAUUGGGCGUAAAGAGCUCGUAGGUGGUUUGUCGCGUUGUUCGUGAAAACUCACAACUCAAUUGUGGGCGUGCGGGCGAUACGGGCAGACUGGAGUACUGCAGGGGAGACUGGAAUUCCUGGUGUAGCGGUGGAAUGCGCAGAUAUCAGGAGGAACACCGGUGGCGAAGGCGGGUCUCUGGGCAGUAACUGACGCUGAGGAGCGAAAGCGUGGGGAGCGAACAGG
rnacentral:rRNA from 1 species